rnacentral:snRNA from 1 species
CCAAUUUCUUAUUAUUAUCUGUAAGAGAAAGAUUCUCUGGAAAUAUAAGUACACCGUAGUUAUAGUUAUCUUCGACAGUGAAGUCAGAAGCUUUUAACUUCAAAUCGUCUUGGCUUUUUAAAAAUGAACCAUUAACAAUAUCUUCAAUAUAAGUACCUUUUCC